rnacentral:rRNA from 1 species
UACGUAGGGUGCGAGCGUUGUCCGGAAUUAUUGGGCGUAAAGAGCUUGUAGGCGGUUUGUCGCGUCUGCUGUGAAAUCUCAAGGCUCAACCUUGAGCUUGCAGUGGGUACGGGCAGACUAGAGUGUGGUAGGGGGGACUGGAAUUCCUGGUGUAGCGGUGAAAUGCGCAGAUAUCAGGAGGAACACCGAUGGCGAAGGCAGGUCUCUGGGCCACUACUGACGCUGAGAAGCGAAAGCAUGGGGAGCGAACAGG